GUAAAUGAAAAUGUAAAUGAAAAUGAAGGUUAUAAUGACGGUCAAGAAGAUGACAAAAAUGAUGAAAAUAAUGUUUUGUCAAAAGAAAAAAAUUUAAAAUAUUCAAAAAAAAAAAUGUUACCGUUUUUACCUAUCGAAACACAUAAAUUAGCAAAGUUUUGUAAUGUUAUAAGAGAUUAUGAAAAAGAUUAUAAUUUAAACUUGUCUGUACAUAGUCAAUGGUUACCUGUUUUAUUUAAUAUGCCAAUUGUUAAUAAAUUACCACAUUGGGUUAAAAAAUGUAAAUAUUGUUGUUUCAAAAUGACUGAGUUGAAUAAUAUUCAAAAUAGUAAAGAAAGCAUCACUUCUUUUUUAUCUAAUCAUCAAGAAAAUGAAAAACAAACGGAAGAUAAAACAGAAAAUAAAAUAGAGGAUAAAAUAGAGGAUAAAAUAGAGGGUGAUAUUAAGAAAGGUAAGAAUAAUAAUAGUAAUGAAAAUAUUGAUGAAAAAGAUGAAACGAAUAAUGAACGUGAUAAAAAACAGGAUGAUGGUGAUGGUGAUGAUGUAGAAAAUAAUAAUAAAAAUGAUAAAAAUGACAAAAAUGACAAAAAUGAUAAAAAUGAUAUGAACGAAUAUAAUGACUCAAAUGUUGAUGGAAAUAAUGAUAACGAAAAAAAUACAGAUGUUGAAGAAAAAGAAAAUGAUAAAGAUAAAAAUGAUCAAAAAGAUAAUAAUAAUAAUAAUAAUCAAAAAAAUAAAAAAAAAAAUAAAGAAAAAAAAGAAGAUACUGAUGAAUAUAAUGUUUUAAAAAUACCACCACAAGUUUUUGAUUAUCCAAUUGAUCAAUUAGGUCAUGUAAAUGAAUGCUUUUUAUUUAAACUUUAUUCUAUUAAUAGUAAAAGUAUUUUAAUUUCAAGACUAACAUUAAAAUAUGAUCCUAGAAUAUCAGGAUGGAAAGGAGAUAAUAAAAUUAAAAAAGAUAUGAUAAACAAUAUGUCUAUGAAUAUGAACAAUAUGUCUAUGAAUAUGAAUAAUAUUUCGAUGAAUAUGAAUAAUAUGCCUAUGAAUAUGAAUAUAAUGAAAAAUAUGAACAUGAUGAACAUGCAUAAAUAUAAAGGUGGUAAAUACAAAAAUAAUAAAUCAGUUAAUCCAAAUAUUGCAAGUAUGACAAACAUGGCCAACAUAACAAAUAUGGCAGCUGGAAUGACAGGCAUGACAAACAAUAUGAUGAAUCCAUACAUGAAUGGCACAUAUAACCCUAAUUAUCGAAACAAUAUGUAUGACCAAAAUAUUCCUAUUCCACCUCCCAUGAAUAAUUUUAACAAAAAAAUGUACCAAGGACAUAAUAUGAACAUUAAAAGAAAAAACGAUUUAUACAAUUGUGAUAGCAUGGAAAAGUGCUACGAUAACUAUAAUAUGAAGGAUAACUACAAAUCAGAUGACGAUAGCUGUAAGAACUUCAUUUCUUAGUUUUAAUACGUGUGUAAUAUAAACUUUGUUUUGUGUAUAAUAUAAGCGUUUUAAUAAAAAAAAAAAAAAAAAACUAGCA
rnacentral:lncRNA from 1 species